rnacentral:rRNA from 1 species
GGUGGCGGAUGGGCAUGCGGCGCAUUAGCUAGUCGGCGGGGUAACGGCCCACCGAGGCGACGAUGCGUAGGGGUUCUGAGAGGAAGGUCCCCCACACUGGUACUGAGACACGGACCAGACUCCUACGGGAGGCAGCAGUGAGGAAUAUUGGUCAAUGGGCGCGAGCCUGAACCAGCCAAGUCGCGUGAGGGAUGACGGUCCUACGGAUUGUAAACCUCUUUUGCCGGGGAGCAAGCGUGCGUUCGUGAACGCGCGUCGAGAGUACCCGGAGAAAAAGCAUCGGCUAACUCCGUGCCAGCAGCCGCGGUAAUACGGAGGAUGCGAGCGUUAUCCGGAUUUAUUGGGUUUAAAGGGUGCGUAGGCGGGAUGCCAAGUCAGCGGUAAAAAUGCGGUGCUCAACGCCGUCGAGCCGUUGAAACUGGCGUUCUUGAGUGGGCGAGAAGUAUGCGGAAUGCGUGGUGUAGCGGUGAAAUGCAUAGAUAUCACGCAGAACUCCGAUUGCGAAGGCAGCAUACCGGCGCCCUACUGACGCUGAGGCACGAAAGCGUGGGUAUCGAACAGGAUUAGAUACCCUGGUAGUCCACGCAGUAAACGAUGAAUGCUAACUGUCCGGCUCGAAUGAGCGCUGGGCGGU